AGAGCGAACGCUGGCGGCAGGCCUAAUACAUGCAAGUCGAACGCACCUUCGGGUGAGUGGCGGACGGGUGAGUAACACGUGGGAACGUGCCUUUUGGUUCGGAAUAAUCCGGGGAAACCUGGCCUAAUACCGGAUGUGCCCUUCGGGGGAAAGAUUUAUCGCCAUUAGAGCGGCCCGCGUCUGAUUAGCUUGUUGGUGGGGUAAUGGCCCACCAAGGCUACGAUCAGUAGCUGGUCUGAGAGGAUGAUCAGCCACACUGGGACUGAGACACGGCCCAGACUCCUACGGGAGGCAGCAGUAGGGAAUCUUGCGCAAUGGGCGAAAGCCUGACGCAGCCAUGCCGCGUGAAUGAUGAAGGUCUUAGGAUUAGUAAAAUUCUUUCAGCGGGAAGAUAAUGACUGUACCCGCAGAAGAAGCUCCGGCUAACUUCGCGCCAGCAGCCGC
rnacentral:rRNA from 1 species